rnacentral:rRNA from 1 species
GAUGAACGCUGGCGGCGUGCCUAAUACAUGCAAGUCGAGCGAAUGGAUUAAGAGCUUGCUCUUAUGAAGUUAGCGGCGGACGGGUGAGUAACACGUGGGUAACCUGCCCAUAAGACUGGGAUAACUCCGGGAAACCGGGGCUAAUACCGGAUAACAUUUUGAACCGCACGGUUUGAAAUUGAAAGGCGGCUUCGGCUGUCACUUAUGGAUGGACCCGCGUCGCAUUAGCUAGUUGGUGAGGUAACGGCUCACCAAGGCAACGAUGCGUAGCCGAGCUGAGAGGGUGAUCGGCCACACUGGGACUGAGACACGGCCCAGACUCCUACGGGAGGCAGCAGUAGGGAAUCUUCCGCAAUGGACGAAAGUUUGACGGAGCAACGCCGCGUGAGUGAUGAAGGCUUUCGGGUCGUAAAACUCUGUUGUUAGGGAAGAACAAGUGCUAGUUGAAUAAGCUGACACCUUGACGGUACCUAACCAGAAAGCCACGGCUAACUACGUGCCAGCCGCCGCCGUAA